rnacentral:tRNA from 1 species
GGUUACCCCUCGGCGGUGCACAUGGCGCCUGAGUAUCUGGAGGAUGUUCAGGCUGGGCUGCGAGUCAAGCGCUUCGGCGUUCGACUCAUGGAGCUUACCGC